rnacentral:lncRNA from 1 species
UUAUGUCAUUAUAACUUAGGUUGUUAAUAUCAGUGCAUUAUGAUUCCUCCAUGAAAUAAGUUUUGUCUGCUGACAUAAAGAUAUACCCGAAAUUACAUUUUGUCAUCUUUGAAUAUCUCAAAGUUAGAGUAAUAAAUCGGUUUUAAUUCUCACUUCUUCUUUAAAUUGUAGCCUCUCGUUACUUUUAAAGAUAUUGUAAUACUCCAUUAGAUGCUUCACAUUAAUCUAGACAUAUCUAGUGUGUUGCAAUGUGAGUAAUAUCUAAACGAGUAUAGACUUAAACUUACAUAAGGCUUCCAAUUAAUGAAGCGUAAAUAAAUAAUCUCAUUUAUCCUAUUAUCCUCUAAAGGAAAGCAAUAUUGUCUGUUACAUACGUAAGGACCCAUUUAAUGUUAAACUAAUGGAACAGAACUAAUAUCCCAUUGGGUCUAUCUCAGUAUGUUAUGAUAUCAAUCACGUAAGAGAUAUCUCUGAGAUUUAUUAUAUCAAAGUUUAUGUUAACAAUGCUUUGACUUAUGUAACAUAUACUUGUCAAAAGAAUAUCAUCUAUAUUAACAAGUUUAUCUUAGUUGCUCCCACUCAUUUUGAGGUAGGUACAUUAAUCCACUUGAUUCUUGAUGAAAAUAAUUACGUUAGCUUUUCAUCACAUUAUGAUGUUUGCAUUAACCCAUACAUGGAUAUUAUUGGCUUACAAAUAAAGUGUUCUUUAACCUUCAGUUUGAAACUUUAGGUUGUUAUCUAAUGAACAUGUAAAUGUCUUUAAACUAUUAUAAGCUACUAGAACAGUGAUGAUCCUCAAAGAAAUCUUUUGUAAGAUAGGUAAGAAAGACUCUUUGAUAAUUCAUCUCUUUUU